rnacentral:rRNA from 1 species
UACGGGGGGGGGCAAGCGUUUGUUCGGAAUUACUGGGCGUAAAGGGCUCGUAGGUGGCCAACUAAGUCAGACGUGAAAUCCCCAGGCUUAACCUGGGAACUGCGUCUGAUACUGGAUGGCUUGAAUUCGGGAGAGGGAUGCAGAAUUCCAGGUGUAGCGGUGAAAUGCGUAGAUAUCUGGAGGAAUACCGGUGGCGAAGGCGGCAUCCUGGACCGAGAUUGACACUGAUGAGCGAAAGCUAGGGGAGCAAACGGG